CCAUAGCUUCCUUUGUCAGGUGCCCGCCCUUGCGACGGGAGAAUCGGGAAUCCGGUGAAAGACCGGAACGUGCCCAGCGCUGUGAGGCGGACGCUCUUUUUUAGAAGCCACUGAAGCAAUUCGGGAAGGCGAAAAGGGCGGAUGAAGCCAAGUCAGAAGACCGGCCUGACGGGAUAGACCGAAC
rnacentral:ncRNA from 3 species